CAAAUUAACCAUAAUAUUCUGAGU
rnacentral:siRNA from 1 species